UACGUAGGGUGCAGGCGUUAAUCGGAAUUACUGGGCGUAAAGCGUGCGCAGGCGGCUCCUUAAGUCAGAUGUGAAAGCCCCGGGCUUAACCUGGGAACUGCAUUCCAAACUGCCGAGCUAGAGUGUGGUAGAGGGAGGUAGAAUUUCCUGUGUAGCGGUGAAAUGCGUAGAUAUCAGGAGGAAUACCGAUGGCGAAGGCAGGUCUCUGGGCUGACACUGACGCUCAUGCACGAAAGCGUGGGGAGCAAACAGG
rnacentral:rRNA from 1 species